UUUUUCUUUUCUUUCUUUUUUUUGAGACAGAGUCUCACUCUGUUGCCCAGGCUAGAGUGCAGUGGCACGAUCUCAGCUCACUGCAACCUCUGCCUCCCGGGUUCAAGCAAUUCUCCUGCCUCAGCCUCCUGGGUAGCUGGGACUACAAGCGCUGCCACUACACCCAGCUAAUUUUUGUAUUUUUAGUAGAUACAGGGUUUCACCAUGUUGGCCAGGCUGGUCUCGAACUCCUGACCUCGUGAUCCACCCGCCUUGGCCUCCCAAAGUGCUGGGAUUACAGGCGUGAGCCACCACACCCGGCCUGCCUGGAUAAUUUUUUAUUUUAUUUUAUUUUUAUUUGUUUUUAGAGAUGGGAGUCUCACUGUGUUGCUCAGACUGGUUGAACUCCUGGGCUACAUCGAUUCUCCCUCCUUGGCCUCUCAAAGUGCUGGUAUUACAGGCUUGUGUCACCGUGCCUGGCCUAGUUCUUCUUGAGUGACCUUAAUUUCUGUUUUUCAUAAUUUUAUUUUUUUAAAUAAAGCAUUGAUCCUGUUUUAUCAUUUGGCAGGAAAACUAGACAAUCCACCAGCCCAGGAGGGGACAAGCAGGCUUAUUCCUCCUCCUCGUCAUCUCUGGCUCCAGCCCCACCCUGGCCCUUGCUGGCAUUCUUCCUCUUCACGUGGCUGGGGUUGGCCACCCCAAUAGGGAAGCAGAGGGAGAAGUCAAUGUGCUUCUGGGAAUCCAGGCGGACAGUGAAGAACAGGAUAUUUACCACCUGCUCACGGACACGGAUAUGACACUGUUGAAUCAGCACAUGAGCGUGGCGGAUGGACUUAGCCAAGC
ensembl:lncRNA CBR3-AS1 CBR3 antisense RNA 1